CAGUCGCCACGGUAAUACGUAGGUGGCAAGCGUUGUCCGGAAUUAUUGGGCGUAAAGGGCUCGCAGGCGGUUUCUUAAGUCUGAUGUGAAAGCCCCCGGCUCAACCGGGGAGGGUCAUUGGAAACUGGGAAACUUGAGUGCAGAAGAGGAGAGUGGAAUUCCACGUGUAGCGGUGAAAUGCGUAGAGAUGUGGAGGAACACCAGUGGCGAAGGCGACUCUCUGGUCUGUAACUGACGCUGAGGAGCGAAAGCGUGGGGAGCGAACAGGAUUAGAGACCCCUGUAGUCCCUGUCCCUUAUAC
rnacentral:rRNA from 1 species